UACGUAGGGUGCGAGCGUUAAUCGGAAUUACUGGGCGUAAAGUGUGCGCAGGCGGCAGAGCAAGUCGAGUGUGAAAGCCCCGGGCUUAACUUGGGAAUUGCGCUCGAAACUACUUUGCUGGAGUGUGGCAGAGGAAGGUGGAAUUCCACGUGUAGCGGUGAAAUGCGUAGAGAUGUGGAGGAAUACCGAUGGCGAAGGCAGCCCCCUGGGAUAACAUG
rnacentral:rRNA from 1 species